CACAUCAACCUUAAAACCUAGCCUGGACACCAGCCAAACUUAGCCCCGACCACAACAUUUGAGGUUGGGAAGUUCAUAUUCUGACUAGAAU